rnacentral:lncRNA from 1 species
AUCUCACCAUAAAAAAAUACCAUUGGCUUUUGCUGGUUUCCUCACCCAAAACCACCAGCAGGAAGCCUUUAGCCUCAGGUUUUUUCCUAAACUUUUGGCAUUCUCACCUAUAUAACCAAACCCCAUCCUCCCAUCGGAUUCAUCAAAGCAUAGCUCGUGUUUUCUUACUCUCCACAAAUCCCACUACAAACUUGUUGGUUCUAUAUUACAGUAACAUAAAAAAUGAGUUCAGCGAGUAAAGCUUGGUUGGUUGCCGCUGCUAUCGGAGGUGUUGAGGCGUUGAAAGAUCAAGGGUUCUGUAGGUGGAACUACACCUUGAGAUCCCUACACCACCAUGCCAAGAACCAUGUCAGAUCAGCCUCUCAGGCCAAGAAGCUUUCUUCUUCAUCCUCAGCCAUGAUCUCAAAUAUAGUCAAGGAAGAGAAGGCAAAACAGUCAGAGGAGUCUUUAAGAAAAGUCAUGUACUUGAGUUGUUGGGGUCCAAACUAAAGUAAUGAAUCUAGGAGAUGAAAUCGAGGGACUUAGUUUAUAGGAGUAAAUCGUAGCAAGCUUAUGCAAAUUGUAAAUUUUGAUGCUCAUUUGAUGAAAUCGAACAUUAUCGCAUGUUUCUACCAUUUCUUUUGGUAACGCGCAGUGCAUUUCCCUAGUGAGUAAAUUUAACAAAGCUCUUUUCUAGUUUUCAAGUGGAAUAAACAGGCAAUUAAUUUCAAUAUGAGAUAUGAAAUUCAACUCGAGGCUAAAAUCUCUUUCUCCCCACAUCCUCAAAUGGAUAAAAAGGCUACAUGAAAAACGAAAACCUCAAAUUGGAUUUGACCCCAAAGAAAAUCCAUUUUGCUGUAAAAUUCUCAGUCACUGAUCUCAACAGGAGUGAUCGUUGUGUGAAAAAUGGAACAUAAGCUUGUACUAUCAGAUAAAUUUAUUAAUAAGUAAGAUUGGAUUAGCUUCAAUAAGGAAUUAUAAUUACGAAAGCUAAAUCUUUUAAAUUUUAGAGCAAUUAGAAAUCAAAGAGUUACAUGGUUAUUAAUUUAAAAAUUCAUAAAAUUAAUUAAAAAAUAUAUGAAUUGAUUAGAACACCUAUAUUAAUUAAAAAAAAUAAUAGGAAUGAUGCUGAUUCAAAAUUAAUGUUCAUUCUUAAAUCACUCUUACAAGCUCACUAGAAUCUCUCUAUGUUAAACCCAAAUGAAAACAAAAAACUAAAAAUAUGAGCGUUUAUUUUCAGAAAAACAAAUGGUCGUGAGACCAACACAAUUUUUGCCUAAAUUUCUUUUCAAGCGCUAAUAGUUAGCAUUAGUGGAAAGCUACCUCCAAGAAUAUGGCAUGUGGCAUUCCUCGACUCUAAUUUGGCCUUUGUUGGAUUUUUUUGUUUAACAAAACGGUGUGCUCGUGAGAAGAUAGAGACAAAGUUGAUUUGUCGCAUGUCAUGCACAAAUUAAAAAAUCCACUAACGCAUCAUGUCAUAAAAAAUACCGUUGGCCUUUGCUGGUUUCCUCCCUCGAAACCACCACCAAGAAGCCUUUAGCCUAUGGUUUUUCUCCUACACUUUUGGUACACUCACCUAUAUAACCAAACCCCUUUACUCCCCUUUACUUCAUCAAAUCAUAGCUCCUGAUAUCUUAAUCUCUACAAAUCCCACUUCAAAGAGUUUCCAACUCGUUGGUUCUAUAUUACAGUAACACAGAAAAUGAGUUCAGCAAGCAAAGCUUGGUUGGUUGCAGCAGCUGUUGGAGGUGUUGAGGCCUUGAAAGACCAAGGGUUCUGCAGGUGGAACUACACCUUGAGAUCCCUCCACCAACAUGCCAAGAACCAUGUCAGAUCAGCCUCUCAGGCCAAGAAGCUUUCUUCUUCAUCCUCUGCCAUGAUCUCGAAUAAAAUCAAGGAAGUGAGAGCAAAACAGUCUGAGGAAUCUCUAAGAAAAGUCAUGUAUUUGAGCUGUUGGGGCCCUUACUAAGCAAAGAAGCAAGAACAGAGAUUGAGGAAAUUAUCGUGAUAGGAUUACCCUGAUUGUUGCAAGUCGAUGUAAAUAUUUGUAAAUUUUGUUGCUGACUUAAUGGAAUCAAACAAUAUUAUUCUUGGAUUAGUUUUUCCUUGCACCUUUUAUGUUUUCCCACUUCUUUUGGUAGCACCUCAUGUCACAGGUGAAAACUAAAGGGAUCAUGACAAGGUUCAAUUUUAGUGCAUCACAGCAUUUGCUAAGGAUAUUUAAAUUAAUUGCAACCCCAAGCUAAAUAUCUAAUUUGGUUUAAAAAGUAUUUUAAAAAAUCAGCAACUCAACUGGAGGAGGGGUUGUAUCGCAAAAGCUAAAUAUCUUGAUAGGUUGACAAAUUAGUGCAAAUCUUAAACUGGAAUUCUCAAUUUCAAUCUGGCCCAGAAGAAAAUUAGUUUAGGAGUAUUUCUUCACUCACAAGUGUUUUUUUUAAUAUUAUAUUUUAUAAUUUUUUAGUUGAAUAUUGAAUUCUUUAAUAGUUAAGUUUCAUAUUUUUAUUUAGUUUUUUUUUUUACUUUUUUAAUUAUUUUUUGCCAUGAAUAAUCUUUUGAAUAAAUAUAAAAUUUAUUUCUAGCAACAAAAUUACUAGAUAUAAUUGAGUAAUAACGCAUAAUUAAAUAUUUUAAUCUUAUUAAAUAUUUUAAUCAAAUAUUAAUUCAUUCAAUUAAAUACAUGCAUAAAUAUUGUAAUAUAUAAUUGAGAAUUUUUUAUAUUAACAACCUCAUGAAAAACUUAAUUAUUAUUUUUUUUUUUUACUAAAAAGGAUAUAUAAUCCUCUACGAAGUGCUGUUGAAAUAGUUUACAUACAGUCCUCAUUGUGCAUGGUGAAUAUUUUGCAGGAGAUUCCCGGAUCAUUAAACAACUUCAUCAUUUAAAUGAUGAAUGCAGAGAGGUAUUUAUGGUGCAGCUUGGAUUCAGUUCAAAGAGAUCCAAUAUAUGUUUCCUUGCUUCGUCCAGAUGAAGGUUACGUUUGUGUGAUUGUGGAUGGCAGCUCUCAUGGGCAAUCCAGGCGUGUCUGGAUUUGGGGAACUGGUUUGAAACAAUGACAGUCACCGGAUGGCGGGUUUCUUGGGUUUUUGUGGUUUUGGAUUGAAUCUUCUUCCGGAACUUCUGGCAAUUAAACAUGGCUUAGCUGAAGCAUAGGAUAGAGGCCAUAGGAGGAUCAUUAUCGAUUCUCAAGAGGCAAUCAAGCUUACAAAAGAGAAGAAUUCUAAAUUUCAUAAAUUGGAUGCGGUUAUAUGUAGAUGUCAAGUUUUUUUGGCUAAGCAUGAUGUAAAGAAUCAUGAUUUGUUCCAGGUGUGGGACAUUCCUUCUCCGGGGCUACACUCUCUCCUUAUGACCGAUUCGUUGGUUCGUUGGGUUUCAAUUUUAGAAGAGUUUUUUAGUUUGUGUCAUUUAAUUUUCACUGCAUCAAAAAAAAAAAAAAUUCCUAACUAUUACUUCAACUUUCUUGCUUAUUAGCAAUCAUACAACAACAGCAGCAACAAGUAACAGCAUCACUUGUCUUUCAUCCUUUUACAGUUCCAUAACACCAAAACAGCUUUGUGAAUACAUGUUUAACCGUAAAAUAAAAUACGAAAAAAGAUGAAUUUUAAGAGAGAGAGAGAGAGGCUCUCAACUUUAUUUUAUAUUAAAGAAAACGAAAAGGAGAAGCAUGCAUUUUGACAUUUGUUUAUCCUCAGUCCCACACUUUCUUUCAGUCCUUACAAGUGGCAAAAAUGAGAAGUGCCACCAAAUUGUGACAUGCAUGACUCACCACCCUUCAGCUAUGCUCCUCCUUAUACGGUGGCUAGGAUUUAUUUAUUUUACGAAGCAAAACCAUGUGCUCAUUUCAAGGCAGGCAGAGAAGCUUUUGGCUUGUUGUGGAGUAAAGGGCAAAAAAAUCUAGCCAUCCCAAGAACCCGAUUUUGUCCCCACUUUCUUAUUGUCACCAUGUGGUAGUUGAAUGUUAAUACAGCCAUCUCACCAUAAAAAAUUACCAUCGGCUUUUGCUGGUUUCCUCACCCAAAACAACCAGCAGGAAGCCUUUAGCCUCAGGUUUUUUCCUCAACUUUUGGCAUUCUCACCUAUAUAACCAAACCCCAUCCUCCCAUCGGAUUCAUCAAAGCAUAGCUCGAGCUUUCUUACUCUCUACAAAUCCUACUACAAACUUGUUGGUUCUAUAUUACAGUAACAUAAAAAAUGAGUUCAGCGAGUAAAGCUUGGUUGGUUGCCGCUGCUAUCGGAGGUGUUGAGGCGUUGAAAGAUCAAGGGUUCUGUAGGUGGAACUACACAUUGAGAUCCCUCCACCACCAUGCCAAGAACCAUGUCAGAUCAGUCUCUCAGGCCAAGAAGCUUUCUUCUUCGUCCUCAGCCAUGAUCUCAAAUAUAGUCAAGGAAGAGAAGGCAAAACAGUCAGAGGAGUCUUUAAGAAAAGUCAUGUACUUGAGUUGUUGGGGUCCAAACUGAAGCUAUGAAUCUAGUAGAUGAAAUCGAGGGACUUAGUUUAUAGUUUAUAGGAGUAAAUCCUUGCAAGCUUAUGCAAAUUGUAAAUUUUGAUGCACAUUUUCUGAAAUCGAACAUUAUCACAUGUUUUUAUCAUUUCUUUUGGUAGCGCGAGUGCAUUUCCCUAGUGAGUAAAUUUAACAAAGCUCUUUUCUAGUUUUCUAGUGGAAUAAACAGGCAAUUAAUUUCAUUUAAUUUCAAUAUGAGAUAUGAAAUUCAACUGGAGGUUAAAAUCUCUUUCUCCCCACAUCCUCAGAUGGAUAAAAAGGCUAUCUCAAAUUGGAUUUGACCCCAAAGAAAAUCCAUUUUGUUGUAAAAUUCUCAGUCACUAAUCACAACAGGAGUGAUCAUUGUGUGAAAAAUGGAAGAGGACCUUGUACCAUCACAUAAAUUUAUUAAUAAGUAAGAUUGGAUCGAAUUCUUUUGAUAUUUAAAAAUACAGAAUUAUGUCUUUUUCUAUGUCAAAGUGUGCAGUUCAAGAAACUAGGAACGAUGCUGAUUCAAAAUUAAUGUUCAUUCUUAGAUCACUCUUACAAGCUCACUAGAAUCUCUCUCUGUUAAACCCAAAUGAAAAGAAAAAACUAAAAAUAUGAGCGUUUAUUUUCAGAAAUACAAAUGGUCUUGACCAAUACAAUUUUUGCCUAAAUUUCUAUUCAAGCGCUAAUAGUUAACAUUAAUGGAAAGCGACCUGCAUAUGACCUUCUUGCAGAAAGAAAACAACUGAACUUUUAACUUCCAUGCAUCAUAGCCAUUAAACCUGGCAUAGAUUAGAUUAGCAAAGCUGAGUCUGAAAACAAAUCCUCACAGAAAUCUGAAAACAUAAAACUAAAGUUAUUGUUUUAAUUAUUUUUCUAAUUAAUUUUAAAUUAUAAUUAUUUAUUUUCUAUUUAAUUUAUGCUAGAUGGAUUAUAUUAAUUAGAAUUUUUUUUAACUAUAAAUCCUUUUUUAUAACAAAUUUUAGAAUUAAUAUAAAUAGAAAUAUGUAGUUUAUUUUUAUAGAGAUAAAAACUAUUAUUUAUAUUUAAUAAAAAUAUAUAAAAAAUUAAAAUUUCUGAAAAGUUUAAUCUACAAUUUUAGAACUUGAAGUCUAGUUUUAUUUUGGCUAUAGUCUGUGUCAUGACUUAAACUGUCUAGUUUUUUACUGAACUGUAUUAAAUAUUAAUUUAGUAAAAUUCGAAUUGGAUUGGCUUGCGAGUUAAUCUAAUGAUCGAUUAAGUGGCCGUUUGGAUUUGCUGCAGCGGUUGCGGUUGAAAUGAAAAUAUGCAAUAUAGUGUUUGGUUAACACCAACCAUGUUUUUUAUUGAUGUGGGUCCCAGUCCAAAACUAAGGCUGGACUUCAGUUUUUGAAAAGCAAUUACCAAUUGCUUUUCAUGCGUUUUGCCCUCUCUUUCAUCGCCGACACUUUCCUCUUGUUUUCCCAACGAUCCCAACUCCUGUCCUUGAUUUUUAUGUUUCAACUCUCACAGCCUAUCCAUUUCCAAACCUCAGCAGCUUAGGAAAGAGAAAAGCUCACAAUCUGUUUUUUUUGAAAAGGUUUAUUCUACCCAUAUAACUUAUAAUUUUUUAUCGCCUUGUUAUUAAUAUGGGGUUUAAUUUUUAUUUUAUUCUACGACUGUCUAUUUUUAAAAAAAUUAUUUAAUCUAUCUUUUUUAAAUAGCAAUUAUUCUUAUAUAUAUUUUUAGUUUUAUAAUGUACCAAAGAAGUUAUUGUAAUUUAUCUUUAUUUUUUUUCUUUUAUAUUUGAUUAAAAAAAUAACCUCUAAGAUAAAAAAAAAAACAAAAAAAAACAUAUGAAUUAAAAAAAAAGUUAGGUCAAAUAUUUUAAUGCUUAUUGUAUUUUGUUUUUAUGAAAGAUAUUAAUUUUUUUAUUUUAAUAUUUAAUUACCAUUAACAAAUUUUUCUCAACUUAUCACUUCUUAGAUUUUUAUAUUUAUUUUAUUAAAUUUAAAUAAAAACUUAACAUUUUUCAAUUAAAAAAAUUCACAAUACAAUAAAAUGCAUUUACAAAAUUGGCGUUUAUUAAAAAAAUUCAUUUCUUUUGAAAAGUGCUUUUUGAAUCAUAAUUUUACCAAACACAAAACUGCUUUUUUUUUCUACCACAAUUUAAACCACAGUUUUUUAACCAAACACAAGAAACUGUUUUUUUUAAAACCACAACUCCAACCACAGUUUUAACCAAACACUAACUUUUUUUGAAAUCAAUCUCACAAAAAAUACUUUUUAUUAAACUAUUCUUUUCAAACCAUAAUUAUAAAAGCUACCACAAUACUAAACACAUUCAGUAAGGGAAAAAAAAAAAAAAACAAAAGAAAGAAAGCAUGCAGUUUCCUAGACGGUCCUGCUACCUUAAUUGAUACAGUUUCAUGCGUAUGAGCCUCCAAGAACAUGGCAUGUGGCAUUCCUCACCUCUAAUUUGGGCUUAGUUGGAUAUUUUUUUUAAGCAAAACGGUGUGCUCGCGGGAAGAUAGAGACAAGGUUGAUCUGUCGAUUGUUAUGAAUAAAUUAAAAAAUCUACACCCACCCCAUUUUAUCCCAACUUAUUUAAUGAAUCCAGUCGUCUACUAAGACAAUAGAUGCAUCAUGUCAUCAAAAAUACCGUUGGCCUUCGCUGGUUUCCUCACUCAAAACCACCACGAAGAAGCCUUGAGCCUCUGGUUUUUCUCCUACACUUUUGGUACACUCACCUAUGUAACCAAACCCCCUUACUCUCAUUUACUUCAUCAAAUCAUAGCUCCUGAUAUCUUAAUCUCUCCAAAUCCAACUUCAAAGAGUUUCCAACUCGUUGGUUCUAUAUUACAGUAACAGAGAAAAUGAGUUCAGCAAGCAAAGCGUGGUUGGUUGCAGCAGCUGUUGGAGGUGUUGAGGCGUUGAAAGAUCAAGGGUUCUGUAAAUGGAACUACACCUUAAGAUCGCUGCACCAACAUGCCAAGAACCAUGUCAGAUCAGCCUCUCAGGCCAAGAAGCUUUCUUCUUCAUCUUCUGCCAUGAUCUCGAAUAAAGUCAAGGAAGUGAAAGCAAAACAGUCUGAGGAAUCUCUAAAAAAAGUCAUGUAUUUGAUCAGCUGCUGGGGUCCUUACUAAAGCUAAGAAGCAAGAUGAAAUUGAGAAACUUAUCGUGAUAGGAUUACCCUGAUCGUUGCAAGUUGAUGUAAAUAUUUGUAAAUUUUGGUGCUGACUUAAUGGAAUCAAACUAUAUUAUUUUUUCAUUAAUUUUUCCUUGCACCAUUUAUUUUUUCUGUUUUCCCCCUUCUCUUGGUAGCACCUCGUGUCACAAGUGAAAAAGGAUCAUGACAAGGUUCAAGUUUAGUGCAUCACAGCAUUUGCUAAGGAUAUUUAAAUCAAUUGCAAUCUCAAGAUAGAAUCGAAAUUCUAAUUUCGUUACGAAAAUCUAUUUUAAAAAAGCUAGGCCUGCAACUUUGACUGGUUUUUUAAUGACAUCCAUGGAUUAAGAAAUAAUUAUUGGAUUAAAACCUUACCCCGUUUUUGGAGCCAAAUGGAAGUUAUAUAUAUAUAUAUAUAUAUAUAUAUAUAUAUAUAUAUAUAUAAUCUGUUAAAUGAAGAUCAACAGGGCUUCUUUACUUCAAUGUCAGAACUUUUGAGCAUUCAAGAAACUUGGAAUGUUGCAAAAUGGUUGAACUUGACAGAAAAGAAAUAUUUUUUUUUGAAGUGAAUAAUGUUUAGUAACGUAAUGAGAAUCCAUUUGAUCACUGCUCAAGUCGUUUAUGCAUCAAAAUUUUGCUUGAUGACAUGUCUGGAUAAGGAGAGCUUGAGAGUUGAGAACUUGGUAUUUUGUGACACACGCAAUGGAUCUACAAUUAUUGUCUGUCCUUUACUCAAGCCCCACUCCUGAAGAAAAACAGGAGGAUUUGCCUCCUAUACUUGAGGCUCACCUCGGAGUUUUAUAAAGCAAACCGUGUGCCUCUUUAUCAAAACAAGGCCCCGCUCUAGCAACAUGAUAAGAUGCAUGAAAAAGAAAUGUAUUUAAUGCCACCAAGUGGUCCUUGAUGGACAUAAAGAUUCAGUCCCAUCAUAGCUGGUGGUUUGGCUCCCUUAAGCUAAAACCACCAGCUACAGCUUGUUCCUAGCUUCCGGUUUCCUUCAAAUUUCUGGCACCUAGUCCGCUACUCUCUUUAUAAGCAAAUCCCAGUUUGCCAUUUACACCAUCGACACGAAUUCUCAAUUACAUCUCAUCCUUUUCAACUAAAAAUCUCACAUCAACGAGUUUCCAACUAUUGUUCUAUUUUAUAUUACAGAGAAAAUGAGUUCAGCAAGUAAAGCUUGGUUGGUAGCUGCUGCUAUUGGAGGUGUUGAGGCCUUGAAAGACCAAGGCUUCUGUAGGUGGAACUACACAUUGAGAUCGCUACACCAACAUGCCAAGAACCAUGUCGGGUCAAUUUCUCAGGCUAAUAAGAAGCUCCCUUAUUCAUCUUCUGCCAUUAUUUCAAAUAAAUUCAAGGAAGAGAAGAUGAAACAGUCAGAGGAGUCUCUAAGAAAAGUCAUGUAUUUGAGUUGUUGGGGUCCUAACUGAUACUCUCAAGAAAAAGGAAAUUCUGAGGAAAUCAGUUCAUAGGAUUAGAGUAAAUUUUUGCAAGUUGAUUUAAACUGUAAAUGCUUGUGCUGACAAUCAAAUAUAUCUCAUUUUAUUGGCAAAAUUUUGGGAAAAUGGCCUUAAAGUAACAUUAACAAAGGAUAUGGCUCAUGUUAAAAAAAACACCAGCAACUCAAUUGGAGGAGGAGUUGUAUCACAGAAGCUAAAUAUCUUGAUAAGUUGAUAAAUUAGGACAAAUCUUAAACUGGAAUUCUCAAUUUCAGUUUGGCCCAGAAGAAAAUUAGUUUAGGAAUAUUUCUUUACUCACAAGUGUUCACGGCAGGGUGAUGAUCACUGUAUGUGAAAUGAAAACGCUGUGUUUGUUUUCCGGAAAGUGGUUUCCGGGAAAGCACUUUCCAAACUUUCUCGUGUUUGUUUGCCAGUAGGAAAGUUGGUCAAUGGAAAACACUUUCCAGUAAAAGGAAAAUUUGGCUUGGUUUUCAGGAAAGUGUUUUCCUGAAAAAUUUGAGGGGAAAACACUUUCCAGAAGUUGUGAAAAUUUUAGAAAUGUCAUUAUUUGCUGAUUAUAUCAAAUUUGAUCCUCAAACUUUUGAUUGCUAUAUAUAUUUUGUUUUGAAUAUUUAUUUUUCAAUUUCAUCUCUUAAAAUUUUAUUUUUAUAUUAACUUUGGUCCUUAUUUUUAUAAUUGUUAUUUGCUUUUUUCUUACCAUUUUUUUAUUGAAAUUUUUUAUUUAUCAAAUUUGAUCCUCAUUCUUUUUGAUUGUUACUUAUUUUAUUUGAAAUAAUUUAUGAAAUGUUGAUUAUUAUUAUUUUAAUUUCUUCAUUUUUCAUUUUUUUUUAUUUUUUUAGAUUUGAUCCCUAUUAUUUUGAUUAUUAUUUGUUUUAUUUGAGAUAAUUUAUGAAAUUAUAUUUUUUUUUUUCAAUUUCAUUCUCAUUCAACUUUUUAAUUUGUAAGAUUUGUUCCUCAUUAUUUUAAUAAACUUGAGAAAAAUAAAAUAUUAAUAAGUUAUUUUCCAGCUCAUUUUUCAUGACAUAACUAAACACUGGAAAGUGUUUUCCAGUUCAUUUUCCAUAACACUACCAAACAUCGGAAAAUACUUUCCCGGAAUUCACUUUCCAGGAAUUCACUUUCCUCGGAAUUCACUUUCCAAAAGAAAUUCACUUUCCUGCAAACAAACGGAGCCUUAAAUUACAAAAGAAUUGUAUAAAUAAUUAACCCGAAGAAUUUUUGAAUAAUUAUAUGAUGAAUUUAUGAAAAACUUUCACACAGAAAUUGGGUUUUUAAAGACAACAAUUAUAGAUGAGAGAUGUGUGUGGGGGUCUAAAUAUGGGAUUAGCCUUAAAAAAUAUCGAUCUUGGGACGUGAAGAAUAUUUUCAAACCAAUUGAUUUGGUGAAAACUUUGGUGUUAUCAUUGAUGUUGGCAAAACGUUAUCUAGAAAAAGCUAUUGGUAUAGAAAAUAUAUACUUGAUUUUCAUAGACAUGUGAUUAUUGGCUUGAUGUUUGGAUCACGACCCCAACAAUAACAAGGAGGCGAAGGUUUAUUGCCAUUUGGGUCAACAAAAACAAUUUUGUUCUGGUAAAAAUGUAUGCCAUCAUUUUCCUCUCAUGUUUUUUAAACAAAUAUGCUCGAAAGACAUGAAAAGAAAAGAAAAAAUUAGAAAAAGAAAACUUGUUUUGUAUAGAGUUUACAAGUGUAGAUAGUUUUUGUUAAAUUUUUGCAAGAAAGAGCAAAGUUUAAUUAUCUUGCUUAGAGGUAGUUUAGUUAAAAAAAAGAGUGGAAAAGUAAGCAAUAUGAUAUCUGAAUGAGUGUACAAGUUCAAGACGCCUUACAUGAGAAGUCCAAAUUUAAUUAUCAUGUUUUGGAGACAGGUAGUCAAAAAGACUUGAAGAAAGAUUUGUGAUUUUUUUUAUAGACAAGUGGUUACAGAAUAAUGAAAAAGGAUAUCUUAUACUUUAGAAAAUAUAUGAUCAUAGUGUUUUGGAGACAUUUAUGAAGAUUCAAUUAAGACAUGAAGAUUUUAGUAUGAAAAAUUAAAGAAGCUAGAGUUUAUUUUCAAUAUAAGUUAUAUAUUUAUUACACUGAAUAGGCUAAUUUGUUUGUUUUGUUUAUUGUAAUUUCAUGCUUGCAAGAGUUAUUUUUCAAUGCUAUUGUGUAAUCUUUUAUAUAUAUAUAUAUAUUCAAUUACUAUCUUUGCUUAUUUUUUUAUUGUCUAAUUAAAAUAAAACUAACUUAUUAAAUUUAAAUGAGGCUAUAACCUGAGUUAUUUGUUUUUUUUUAUUUCUUUUAAAUAUGCUUGUGACACCUAGAUUAUAGUUGUCUUUUUUUAUUUUUUAUUUUUUAUUUUAAUUGAUACCUUUUUAAAAAAAUAUUUUUUUUUAAUUUAUAUUUGCAUUAAUAUCUCUUCUCAAUUAUUUUUUAUUUUUAAUUGAUUUUUCCUUCAAUUUCAUCCAUAUCCUUUGGUUUAAUUUGAUUUUUAAAUCAAACUUAUUUCUUAUUCUUUUGAUAUUUUUAAACCUUUUAUAAAUUGAUUUUUUUUCAAUUACAUUCCUUGGCAUUUAAUUUCAAUUUAUUUUUCUAUUAAAUUUGGUUCCCGUUAUUUGUUUUUCUUCUUGUCUUUUAUGGGGUUAGUCUCAUCCUCAUUACAAGGGUCACAAGUUUCGAAGGUUAACAUUGGUUGACUUUGAUUUUUUUAAGUUUUUUUAUCAAAUUGAUUUAUUUUUAAUUUUAUCCUAUAAUAUUUAAUUUUUUUUAAUUAGUUUUUUUUUAUCUUUUUUUAUAUGGAGUUAUCUCAAUCCUAUACCCAUAGUCUUAGAGUUAGUGGCUUAAUCCAAGUUAACUCGGAUUUGUUUUCAUAUAUAAAUAUAAUUUUCUUAAUUCCAUUGCUAAAGAUCUUUUUAUUGAGAAUUUUGCUUCGUUGUUUUUUUUGUUUGCCUUCCAAUGCAGUCGGUCUCAGUCUCAUGACCACGGUUGUGGAUUUUAAAAGUUAAUAUUUGUUAAUUUUGAUUUGUUUAGGUUUUUUUUUUUUUCAAUUUCAUCAUUCAACAUUUAAAUUUUUAGGAUUGAUCUUCAUGCUUUUUUUUUAUUCACUUUCUUUUUUAUGGGGCUAUCUCAAUCUAAUGCCCAAAAUCGUGAAGUUAGUGAGUUAACCUAGCAGAGACAAGUUUGAUAUUAGAAUAAAUGGAUUUAAAUAAUAUUUUAUUUUUAACUUUUUCGUAUUAAAAUGAUUUGAAUAUAUAUAUAUAUAUAUAUAUAUAUAUAUUUUAAAAGCAAAAACAAACUAGGUAUAAUAAUAAAAACUUAAUUUAUCUCCAUUUUUUUAAUGACCAAGUUGUAUUCCAAUAAUUGAAGGGGAAAUAGAGACCACUUGUCUUCUAAAAAAUACCGUUGGCCUUCGCUGGUUUCCUCACUCAAAACCACCACCAAGAAGCCUUUAGCCUCUGGUUUUUCUCCUACAAUUUUGGUACACUCACCUAUAUAACCAAACCCCUUUACUCCCAUUUCCUUCAUCAAAUCAUUGCUCCUGAUAUCUUAAUCUCUUCAAAUCCCACUUCAAAGAGUUUCCAACUCGUUGGUUCUAUAUUACAGUAACAUGAAAAAUGAGUUCAGCGAGUAAAGCUUGGUUGGUUGCAGCAGCUGUUGGAGGUGUCGAGGCCUUGAAAGACCAAGGGUUCUGUAGGUGGAGCUACACCUUGAGAUCCCUUCACCAACAUGCCAAGAACCAUGUCAGAUCAGCCUCUCAGGCCAAGAAGCUUUCUUCUUCAUCCUCUGCCAUGAUCUCGAAUAAAAUCAAGGAAGUGACAGCAAAACAGUCGGAGGAAUCUCUAAGAAAAGUCAUGUAUUUGAGCUGUUGGGGUCCUUCCUAAAGCUAAGAAGCAAGAUGGAAUUGAGAAAAUUAUCGUGAUAGGAUUACCCUGAUCGUUGCAAGUUGAUGUAAAUAUUUGUAAAUUUUGGUACUGACUUAAUGGAAUCAAACUAUAUUAUUUCUUGAUUAAUUUUUCCUUGCACCAUUUAUUUUUUUCUGUUUUCCCACUUCUUUUGGAAAGGAUCAUGAAAAGGUUCAAUUUUAGUGCAUCACAGCAUUUGCUAAGGAUAUUUGAAUCAAUUGCAAUCUCAAGAUAGAAUCUAAAUUCUAAUUUGGUUAAGAAAAUCUAUUAAAACAAAAUCCAGGUCUAACUUUGACUGGUUUUUUAAUGACAUAUAUAUUAUCUGUUAAAUGAAGAUCAAUAGGGCUUAUUUAUUUAAAUGUCAGAACUUUUGAACUUUCAAGAAAAUUGGAAUGUGGCAAAAUGGUUGAACCUGACAAAAAAAAAAAGUAUUUUCUUGAAUAUCUGAAAAAUGAAUUAGCUCGUAAGAAAUAAUUAUUUUGAAGUGAAUAGUGUUUCGUAACAUUAGAGAAUCCACUUGCUCACUGCUCAGGUCGUUUAUGCGUCAAAAUUUUGCUGGAUGCCAAGUCUUUAGAACGCUCGAUUAAGGAGAGCUUGAGAGUUCAGAACUUUGUAUUUUGUGACGCAUGCAAUGGAUCUACAAGACUACAAGUAUUGUCUGUCCUUUACUCAAGCCCCACUGCUGAAGAAAAACAAGUGGAUUUGCCUCCUAUACUUGAGGCUCACUUCGGAUUUUUAUAAAGCAAACCGUGUGCUCUUUACCAAAACAUGGCCCCGCUCUAGCAACAUGAUAAGAUGCAUGAAAAAGAAAUGUAUUUAUAAUUCCACCAAGUGGUCCUUGAUAGACAUAAAGAUUCAGUCCCAUCAUAGCAUAACCACGAUAAAAUAAUACCACUGGCUCCCUUAAACCAAAACCAGCAACCACAGCUUGCUCCUUGCUUCCGGUUUCCUCCCAAUUUCUGGCAAUUAGUUCCCAACUCUCUUUAUAAGCAAAUCCCAGUUUGCCAUUUACACCAUCGACACGGAUUCUGAAUCACAUCUCAUCGUUUUCAACUAAAAAUCCCACAUCAAAGAGUUUCCAACUAUUGUUCUAUUUUAUAUUACAGAGAAAAUGAGUUCAGCAAGUAAAGCUUGGUUGGUAGCUGCUGCUAUUGGAGGUGUUGAGGCCUUAAAAGACCAAGGCUUCUGUAGGUGGAACUACACAUUGAGAUCGCUACGCCAGCAUGCCAAGAACCAUGUCGGGUCAAUUUCUCAGGCUAAUAAGAAGCUCCCUUGUUCAUCUUCUGCCAUUAUUUCAAAUAAAUUCAAGGAAGAGAAGGCGAAACAGUCAGAGGAGUCUCUAAGAAAAGUCAUGUAUUUGAGUUGCUGGGGUCAAAACUGAUACUCUCAAGAAAGAAGAAAUUCUGAGGAAAUCAGUUCAUAGGAUUAGAGUAAAUUUUUGCAAGUUGAUUUAAACUGUAAAUGCUUGUGCUGAUUGCCAAUCAAAUAUAUCUCAUUUUAUUGGCAAAAUUUUGGGAAAAUGGCCUUAAAGUAACAUUAACAAAGGAUAUGGCUCAUGUUAAAAAAAAAACCAGCAACUCAAUUGGAGGAGGAGUUGAUAAAUUAGGACAAAUCUUAAACUGGAAUUCUCAAUUUCAAUUUGGCCCAGAAGAAAAUUAGUUUAGGAAUAUUUCUUUACUCACAAGUGUUCACGGCAGGGUGAUGAUCACUGUAUGUGAAAUUAAACAGGCCUUUAAAUUACAAAAGAAUUGUAUAAAUAAUUAACCCGAAGAAUUUGUGAAUAAUUAUCUGAUGAAUUUAUGAAAAACUUUCACACAGAAAUUGGGUUUUUAAAGACAACAAUUAUAGAUGAGAGAUGUAUGGGGGUCUAAAUAUGGGAUUAGCCUUAAAAAAUAUCGAUCUUGGGACGUGAAGAAUUUCAAACCAAUUGAUUUGGUGAAAACUUUGGUGUUAUCAUUGAUGUUAGCAAAACGUUAUCUAGAAAAAGCUAUUGGUAUAGAAAAUAUAUACUUGAUUUUCAUAGACGUGUGAUUAUUGGCUUGAUGUUUGGAUCACGACCCCAACAAUAACAAGAAGGCGAAGGUUUAUUGCCAUUUGGGCCAACAAAAACAAUUUUGUUCUGGUAAAAAUGUAUGCCAUCAUUUUCCUCUCAUGUUUUUUAAACAAAUAUGCUCGAAAGACAUGAAAAGAAAAGAAAAAAAUUAGAAAAAGAAAACUUGUUUUGUAUAGAGUUUACAAGUGUAGAUAGUUUUUGUUAAAAGUUUUUGCAAGAAAGAACAAAGUUUAAUUAUCUUGCUUAGAGGUAGUUUAGUAAAAAAAAAGAGUGGAAAAGUAAGCAAUAUGAUAUCUGAAUGAGUGUACAAGUUCAAGACGCCUUACAUGAGAAGUCCAAGUUUAAUUAUCAUGUUUUGGAGACAGGUAGUCAAAAAGACUUGAAGAAAGAUUUGUGAUUUUUUUUAUAGAUUUGUGAUUUUUUUUAUAGACAAGUGGUUAUAGAAUAAUGAAAAAGGAUAUCUUAUACUUUAAAAAAUAUAUGAUCAUGGUGUUUUGGAGACAUUUAUGAAGAUUCAAUUAAGACAUGAAGAUUCUAGUGUGAAAAAUUAAAGAAGCUAGAGUUUAUUUUCAAUAUAAGUUAUAUAUUUAUUACACUGAAUAGGCUAAUUUGUUUUUUUUGUUUAUUGUAAUUUCAUGCUUGCAAGAGUUAUUUUUCAAUGUUAUUGUGUAAUAUAUAUAUAUAUAUAUAUUCAAUUACUAUCUUUGUCUAUUUUUUUAUUGUCUAUUUAAAAUAAAACUAACUUAUUAAAUUUAAAUGAGGCUAUAACCUGAGUUAUUUGUUUUUUUUAUUUCUUUUAAAUGUGCUUGUGACACCUAGAUUAUAGUUGUCUUUUUUUUAUUUUUUUAUUUUAUUUUUUAUUUUAAUUGAUACCUUUUUUAAAAAAUAUAUAUAUUUUUUAAUUUAUAUUUGCAUUAAUAUCUCUUCUCAAUUAUUUUUUAUUUUUAAUUGAUUUUUCCUUCAAUUUCAUCCAUAUCCUUUGGUUUAAUUUGAUUUUCAAAUCAAACUUAUUCCUUAUUCUUUUGAUAUUUUUAAACUUUUUUAUAAAUUGAUUUUUUUUCAAUUACAUUCCUUGGCAUUUAAUUUCAAUUGAUUUUUCUAUUAAAUUUGGUUCCCGUUAUUUGUUUUUCUUCUUGUCUUCUAUGGGGUUAGUCUCAUCCUCAUUACAAGGGUCACGAGUUUCGAAGGUUAACAUUGGUUAACUUCAAUUUUUUUAGGUUCUUUUAUCAAAUUGAUUUAUUUUUAAUUUUAUCCUUUAAUAUUUGAUUUUUUUAAUUAAUUUUUUUUAUCUUUCUUUAUAUGGGGUUAUCUCAAUUCUAUGCCCAUAGUCUUAGAGUUAGUGCCUUAAUCCAAGUUAAAUCAUAUAUACAUAUAAUUUUCUUAGUUCCAUUGCUAAGGAUCUUUUUGUUGAGAAUUUUGCUUCAUUGUUUUUUUUUGUUUGCCUUCCAUGCAGUCGGUCUUAGUCUCAUAACCACGGUUAUGGAUUUUAAAAGUUAACAUUUGUUAAUUUUGAUUUGUUUAGGUUUUUUUUAAAAUUGAUUUUUUUUUAAUUUUAUCAUUCAACAUUUAAAUUUUUGGGAUUGAUCUUCAUACUUUUUUUUUUCACUUUUCAUUUCAUGGAGCUAUCUCAAUCUAAUGCCCAAAAUUGUGAAGUUAGUGAGUUAAUCUAGAUUGACCAAAAUCUUUUUUUAUUGAUUUUUUUAAAAUAUUUAUUUUUAGUUGUCACUCAAUAUUAGAUUGUUUGAGUUUCAUAUUUUUUUCAAUUUGUUUUUGUUAACAAUUCUUUGUAUUGUUUAUUGGCACGAAUAAUCUUUUAAUUAAACAAAAAGUUUAUUCUAUAAAACAAAGUUAUUGAACAUAAGUAAGUAGAUAACAUGGGUUGCAUGAUCAAAUAUUUUAAUCUUAAUAAGUCAUUGAUUAAAUAUUAAUUUAUUUAAUUAAAUAUAUGUAUAAAUAUUUUAAUAUAUGAUUGAGAAUUUUUUAUAUAAAAAACAUGAAGAAAAACUUAUUUAUUCUUUAUUUUUUUAUUAAAAAAUUAAGAUAUAUAAUCCUCUACGAAGCGCUGUUGAAAUAGUUUAUUGUAGUUUUCUAGACCAUCACAAUUGUUUACAGACAGUCCUCACUAUUACUUCAAUUGUCUUCAAAAACAGUCUUGCCCAAAACAAAACAUUGAUUGAUAAGUGACAAACCCCAUUUGUUUAAUGCGUGUGACUCAGAGCAGAGACAAGUUUGAUAUUAGAAUAAAUGGAUUUAAAUAAUAUUUUAUUAUUUUUUAAAAAAAUAUUUUUAACUUUUUCAUAUUAAAAUGAUUUAAAAAUAAUAAUAAAAAAUAUAUUUUUUUUUAAAGCAAAAACAAACUAGGUAUAAUAAAAAAACUUAAUUUAUCUCCAUUUUUUUAAUGACCAAGUUGUAUUCCAAUAAUUGAAGGGGAAAUAGAGACCACUUGUCUUGUAAAAAAUACCGUUGGCCUUUGCUGGUUUCCUCACUCAAAACCACGACGAAGAAGCCUUGAGCCUCUUGUUUUUCUCCCACACUUUUGGUACACUCACCUAUAUAACCAAACCCCUUUACUCCCAUUUACUUCAUCAAAUCAUAGCUCCUGAUAUCUUAAUCUCUCCAAAUCCCACUUCAAAGAGUUUCCAACUUGUUGGUUCUAUAUCACAGUAACAGAGAAAAUGAGUUCAGCAAGCAAAGCUUGGUUGGUUGCAGCAGCUGUUGGAGGUGUUGAGGCGUUGAAAGACCAAGGGUUCUGUAGGUGGAACUACACCUUGAGAUCCCUGCACCAACAUGCCAAGAACCAUGUCAGAUCAGCCUCUCAGGCCAAGAAGCUUUCUUCUUCAUCCUCUGCCAUGAUCUCGAAUAAAGUCAAGGAAGUGAGAGCAAAACAGUCUGAGGAAUCUCUAAGAAAAGUCAUGUAUUUGAGCUGUUGGGGCCCUUACUAAGCAAAGAAGCCACAUGAAAUUGAGGAAAUUAUCGUGAUAGGAUUAGCCUGAUUGUUGCCAGUUGAUGUAAAUUGAUUUUUAAAUAUUGUUGCUGACUUCAUGGAAUCAAACCAUAUUAUUUUUGGAUUAGUUUUUCCUUGCACCAUUUAUUUUAUAGUUUCUGUUUUCCCAUUUCUUUUCUCAGGCCCUCAUGUCGCAAAGUGAAAAGGAUCAUGACAAGGUUAAUUUUAGUGCACCACAGCUUAAAAAAAAAUUGAGGGGCAUUUGUAUUCAAAGAUAUUUGCAUCAAUCGGAAUCUCACUACAAUCUAAAUUAUAAUUUGGUAAAAAUAAAAAUUCAAUUCAAGAAAAAUUAGAUUCGAUUUAGAACUUAUACUGGUUUUUCAAAGACAUAAAUGGAUUAAGAAAUAAUUAUUGGACUUAUCCCCUUUUUGGAGCCGAAAGGAAGUUCAUUAGUCUUUUGGUUUUUUGCAUAAAUGAAGAUGAAUAGGGAUUAUUUUCUUCAAUGUCAAAACUUGUGAAAUUUCAAGAAACUUGGGAAUGCUGCAAAAUGGUUGAACUGGCACAAAAAAAUUAGUAUUUUCUUGAAUCUCUGACAGAUGAAUUAGAUCGCAAGAAAUACUUUUUUUUGAAGUGAAUAAUGUUUCGUAACGUAAGAGAAUCAUUUCUCUACUACUCGUAAAAACAUAAAUUAUUUGGAUUCUUUUUUUUAAGGUUUAGCUAUAUCUAUUGGUGUAAAUAUUAUAAUAACUUUUUUUAUGUAAAAUUAGCAGUUUGUUUUAUAAAACAUUUAGCAAAAUAAUAUCAUUUAAAAAAGAUUUGAUUAAAUAACAUGUUUUUAUCAUAUCAUGCCAAAUAUGAUAUUUAUUAAAUGUUGUUAUUUGUAGAAGUAACAAAUUGAAACUCCAAUCAUCUAGCUCAACAGGUUAAUUAAUUGAAUUAAGUUAUAGUAGUUAUAUAAACUGAUCGAUGUUUUCAUAUAAAAAUGAUAAUUUAAUGAAUUUUAUUAAAAUAUUUUUUAUGAAUCAAAAUAUAUAUCUUUUUUCAACUUAUAUACAAAAAAAUAGAUUUUAAUUAAAAUCUUAAAAUAUUAUUAUUCACAUAGUGAUUGUCCUUUGUUUUUCAUUGUCAAUGAUGUAGCUAUAUUUGCAAUAACUGGUAAUUCUAAAUAAUCAGAUGCAACUCUGCUGUAACUAAAUGAGAUUUGGCCCAAACAUAUUAUUUGGAUAGCUUUGCAUUUGUGAACUAAUAGGACAUGUAUAAACUUAGAAAGAAGGUCUAAUUAUACCAUAACAAAAUAAUGCUUAAAAGAACCAUAACUUUUGAUUAGACACUUAAAUUCUUUACAUGAGUUUUCAGAGGAAGUUUUUUCUAUUGUAGCUACUGUAUCGCUAUAUGAACCGUUAGAUUUUUAAAUAUAAAAAAUCUAGUUGAGUCACUUUGAUUUUAAUAACUUUGAGAUUUUUUUUGUUAUUUUUCGAAUCGAUCAACUGGUUUCACUGACCAUUAUGAAUCGGUUGAGCCAGAUAAUUGAAAUUUCACCUUGUCAUGUUUUAAAAGUGUGAUAUUUAUUAAAUGUCGCUAUUAUUUUAAUUUUUUUAAAAAUAAUAAUAUUUAAUAAAUAUUAUAUUUUUAAAGCACAAUAAAAUCAAAAUAUGCCAUUUCAUAAAAAAAAAAAUCUUCUCUGUUAAUUUGCCAAUUGUUUUGAUUUUAUUCACUAAUUUCCUAAUUUAUCCCUUUUUUUCCGUAACACAGCUAGCUAUAAUGUGCGGGUUCUUCAUUUAUUUAUUUUUCUCAACUGUGAUACAUAACAAUUAAUUUUUUUUCCACGUUUGUUAUUUUGGAAAAAAAAAAAUCGUAUCUUGUGACACAUGCAAUGGAUCUACAAUUAUUAUUGUCUUCAGGAGGUAAUCCUGUCCGUUCCCUGUUUUUGAGUAGAUGCCUAGACAAAUGCUAAAAUGCUAUCCUUCCAGCCCCACUACUAAAGAAAAACAAGUGGAUUUGCCUCCAAUACUUGAGGCUCAAUUUUGAUUUUUAUAAAGCAAACCGUGUGCCUCUUACCAAAAACAAGUCCCCACUCCAGCUUUGUCGUAAUUGAAUAUGAUAAGAUGCAUGAAAAAGAAAUCCCCCAUUUUUUCUCCAUUUGUAUUUAAUGCCACCAAGUGGUCCUUGAUGGACAUAAAGAUUCAGUCCCAUCCUAGCCUAACUGCACUAAAAUAAUACCACUGGCUUUAACUUGUGCCAAAACCACCAGCCACAGCUUAUCCCUGGCUUCCGGUUUCCUCCAAUUUUCGGGUCCUCUAGUCCCCUCCUCUCUAUAUAAGCAAUCCCCAGCUUGUCAUCUCCACCAUCAAACACCAUUUCCCUUCUCAAUUACAUCUCAACUUUUUCAAAACGUUGUCCAUCUUCUAGCUCUUCAGUUCAAUCGAAAGAAAUAGAAAAAUGAGUUCAACAAGCAAAGCUUGGGCUGUUGCCACUAGUAUUGCAGCUGUGGAGGCUUUGAAAGAUCAAGGAUUUUGCAGAUGGAACUACACAAUAAGAUCACUAUACCAACAUGCCAAGAACCAAGGCAAGUCAUCCUCUCUGCCCAAGAAGCUCUCUUCUCCAGCUUCUACUGUGGUUGCCGGUAAAGUAAGAGAGAAUCAGAAAGCAAGGCAAUCCGACGAGUCACUGAGGCAGGUCAUGUACUUGAGUUGCUGGGGUCCUUACUAGCCAGGCAGUGAACUACCAGCAAGGAACUAUGGCCAUGCAUGCACUGGUUGCAGCAUAGAGACAAUCGAAGUCUUUCCAAGAGAGACUUAUUUGGAGAAACAUGACAAGGCCGACUUCUUAUGACGAUGGACGCUGGAACCCAUCAACGAUUAGUCAGCUUCAUUUGAAUGUUAUGCUCUAGCAAUAUAUGUUUCAAUCAAUUGUAGCCCAAUGAAUUGCUGAAUGAUGGGAGCAAAUUCUUUCCAUUGCUGCAACAACUUGCAAGUGAUGUAAAUUGUAAUUUUUCAGAAUGUAACGGCAUUUAAAUUAAGACUCAAUUGAAUCAGUAAGCUAAUUACAUGAGUGGAUUAAAGUCUUGUUCUCUGCUUUUAGCCCAUAGGGAAUAAUUACUACAACGUCAAAACCUGUGUGCCUUCAUGAAACUUGGACUGUGGCAGAGUGGAUGAACCUCACACGACACUUUCUACUAUAAGUUUAUAUAUUGGGAUUAGGCUGCAGUCAAGUCUUGAGUAACAAAAAUUAAACCGGGUGGGGUUUUUUAUUGUGGCAGUGUGCGACAUCGCGGCGAAAAAUAUAAGUGUUUUUCAUUUUAAAUCGACAAUGUAAAUCUAUAUCUAUUUUAAAUCUACAAUGUAAAUCUAUAUCUAUUUGGCAAAUGGAGAGACAAGAAAUUCUUGUUUUUUGUUGGUGGAAAAUGGAAUGGGAGUCGUCACCUAGUAUUUUGGUCACUAGAAAUUUUAACUGGUCUCAGAGAUCGGGCACGGGGACUGGUUGCGUAAAGAGAAGGUAUUAGCACCCCAAAUACGCCUUACCUAAGAUAAGCUGCAUUAUUUUAUUGUCUGAUAAAAUCUAAGGUCUUUUCGUGUUUUCCUAGUUGUUGGUAUAGUUCAAGAAAAGUCCUCCUCGGUAAGGAGAUCCUUAUCUUAAUGGGUAAUUCUGACGUUAACAAAAGAAUUUAAUAUUCAGAAUAUGUCUUACGUAUAAGAUCGUAACCCCAAAUACUAAGUCCUCCUCGGUAAGGAGAUCCUUAUCUUAAUGGGUAAUUCUGACGUUAACAAAAGAAUUUAAUAUUUGGAAUACGUCUUACGUAUAAGAUCGUAACCCCAAAUACUAAAAGAAAACACAAUAAUUUUUUUGGAAGUUUUGAAAUAUUGGUCUAGUUCUCAUGGCUUGAAUAAACUGGUUAUUAAAGCCAACAUGCAUGUUAAUACAUAUAUUGUUUUGAAGUUUCCUUUGUUGCGUGAAAAUACGAUGUUAUAAUAUUUAUAUAUAUAUAUUGGAGAGACUAGGCCGUAUGCAUUAAAACAAAAACAUUUUUUUUAUAUAUAUAUUUUUGAUGUUUUGACGAAAACCGGGUAUUUUAAUACUUGAUUUGUAUCUUUACGGUAUAAAAAUACAAACCAAUAUUAAACCAUUUUGACAAAAAAAUAUGCAGGAAAAUCAUAGGAUUUUUUAUAAUAUAUUUUUUUGAAAGCAAAACAUUUUUUAUUUUAAAAUUUUUUGAUGUUUUGACGGAAACCGAGUAUUUUAAUACUAGAUUUGUAUCUUUACAGUAUAAAAAUACAAACCAAUAUUAAACCAUUUUGACAAAAAUAUGCAGGAAAAUAAACAAUAUUUUUUUCAAAUAUUUUUUAGAAUAUUUCUUUUUAUUUUAUACACACACAUAAUAUAAAACAAUAUAAUAUAUAAUAUAAUAUAUAAUAUAAUAUAUAAUAUAAUAUAUUAUGUGGGCUGGGCCGACCCAAAUAAAUGGGCCAGGCUCAGCCCAGCAUGGAUUGGGCCAAUCUCGGCCCAUUCAAUCUCUCAUUUUUGUCUGGGCCAGACUGGCCCAGAAUCAAUCUGGCCCAGCGCAAGAAACCCAUCGAGAGGGGAAUUAUUUUUCCCCUCCUAUCAAUUCUACAUGCAGGAGGAAAACGCCACGAGAAAAAAAUGCAGGGAGAAGACUUUACCUGGCGUGGAGGAGGUGGUCGUUGGUGGUGCUGCGAUGGAGGCCGGUGGCGGUGUCGUGGCUCACGGACGGCGGCUCCAAGCGGCGGUGCUGCUGUUUCAAACGGCGGAGGGUGAGGAUACUGCUCUUCCUUUCUCCUCCGUAUGGCUUCCUCUUCUUUCGUUUUUGGUGGUUUCCUCAGUUCGGGUUUGCUAGUUGUUCUUUUUGGUUCGGUUCUUUCCCUCCUUUUCCUAUGUUUUCUCUUUUUUUUUCUUUCGGUUUGUUCCUUCUCUUCCCUCUCUACUGAUCGUUCUCUCUCUUCGGGUUUUCUCCUUUCUUUCCCCUCUCUCUAUUCGAGCCUCUCUUUUCGUUUUCUUUUUUUUCCUCUUUUUUCCUCCCCCUCGCGUGCUGGCGUCCAGUCUUCAUUUAUAUGGGGCAAGGGAGCGGGGGCGUCGCUAUUGCCACCCUAUGGCAGCGCACGGGGAGCAGGGCUUUGCUGCCCUGCCACAGCGCCGGGCUGGCUGGCCAGUGGGCGUGGCUGGUAGGGCGCGGCUCCCUCGACUUUUCAUCAUGAGAGCGCAUGGGGGGGCGGUUUUGGCAGAUGUGGCAUGUCGGGUUCAACGACGAAAGAAGAAAAAAUUGCCUUCCCCUGCUGCACGUCCAGGGGAAGAGAUAGGGAACAGUGUCGUUCAAAACGACACUAUUCUGUUUUUUUUUUUUUUAACAUGAAACGGCGCCAUUUUAGACAAAACGCGCCGUUUCAUUUAAAUCAAAAAGGGGCGCCGAAAGGCGUCAUUGUCCAAGUCAGUCCUUAAUUAUAUUUUGUUCAUUUCAAUUGCAUCCCUUCCAAUUUCGGUCGCCACCCCUAUAUUUGUCCGCGUUUUUCACUUCAAUCCUUGGCCUCUGAUUUAUGCAAUUUGACCCUCAAUUAAUCAAUAAACUUCCAAUUUCUUCAAUUUAGCCCAUGAUUUUGUUAAUUACAACCCCUAUAUUUACACGCCUUUUCCAAUUUGGUCCUUGGUUUCGGAUAUUCUCAAUUCAGUCCCUAAUUGGCCAUUAAAGUUCAAUAUUUAUGCAAUUAAGCCCUUGAUUUGACCAAAUCAAUUCCUAAAAAUUAUAAUUUGACCCCAGAACUUUAAUUUCUUCCAAUUAAAGCCCAAAUUGACAUAAAAAUCAAUUUUUCUUGCAAUCAAAACCUCUAUAAAUUCAAUUAAACUUGCAAUAAAAUCCAAUUAAGUCCAUAAACAUCCAAUUUUGAACUUUUCUCUUCAAAUUGAAUUUUUUUCUUUUCCAACUGGGCUUUCAUCAUUCAAGGAUACACUGUCAAAAUUUCAAUCUUUGUAUUUUUAACCUCCUAUUAUUUUUUUAUUUUUUUAAUUUCUUCCGGCUAUAUAUAUAUAUAUAUAUUUAUUAUUAUUAUUAUUUAUUACUUUUAUUAUUUAUUUUGAUUUUUAUUAUUUUUGUUAUUAUUAUAUUUUUUAUUUAUUUUUAUUUUUAUUUUUAUUUUUGUGUGGGGACCCAAAAAUGGGUUACAACAUCGAUGUUGAAGAUGCACUAUUUACUUUUUCAAAGAGAUGAUUGGAUUAAAAGAAAAAAAAAGAAGAAGGUAAAAUGUAAGGUGAUUUUGAAUUUUAUAUAAAAAGUUUAUCGUGGUUUUUUAUAUAUUUAUUUUUAUAGAUGAUUGGUCCGAAAUUAAAUUUAGAUAUCAAUUUUUUUUUUAGUUUUUUUUUAAGAGGAAAGGACUAUUGGAUUAGUAGAGAGAGAAAAAAUAAUUAUUAACGAUUAUUCUAGCCAUAAAAAAUAAUUAAAAUUGGUGUUAAUAGAUUAUAUUUUUUACAACGAUAUUUAGUUGACGGAUUCGGCGAAAAAACAAACUAUGCGUAGUUUGUUGUCUUCAUUCUCGAGGGUUGGGUUGGAAGGCUUACGUGUUUGUAUUGCUUUUAUUUUUUUUUAUUUUUUGAUAUUUUAUAUUUUAAUUAAAAAAUUAAUAAAAAAUUUAUUAAAUUCAAUCAAAUUCAUGAGGAGUUUCUGCUUCUCAAAAAAAAAAAAAAAAUCAUCUCUUAUUAAUGAUGAUCUAUUUUUUUAACUCCAACUUAAAAUAGUGCAAUUUUAAUUUUACUAUUAUUAUCAAUAAUAUACUUUUGCUAUAUUAGCACCACGUCCCUAUCAUGAUUUUUUUACUUAACAAAAAAUAUUUCAUACAAAAAAAUUAUCAUGUGCUUUAUUGUUUUUAUUGUUAUGUAAUUAAAUGAAAAAUAAUUUUUGGAAUCAAAAAAUUAUUGAAUUUGAUGACUAACAUGAUUUGCUUUGUGAGUUUGACUGGCCGAGUCGAGUUGAUUUAAGUUUUUAAAUUAAAUACUAUUUUUUUAACCGAUUUUGUUCUUCAACAUUGAGUUAAUUUAAGAUUAAGCUUUUAAUUUGUUUUUUUAUUUUAUUUUUCAGAUUAUCCCUACAACUUUUAUAUCACAUCCAUGUUAAUUUAGGUAAAUCAAAUAUUUUUUUUUAUCUUAAUAUUAAAUAAAAAUAUCGUUCAAUUCAUAAUUAAAAUCUAGUUUUUUAGAAGACACAUCACUAAUAUUUAAAUAAUUUUUUUGUUUUUAAUUUAAAAUCUGCUCCAAACCCACGGCAUAGGGCGGUAGUUCAAAGCUCCGUAAAAGGAAUUCACAAGUUAGAGCAAAUAUUUGGAGUAAUUAUUCAUAAUCUUUCGUAAAAUAGGUAAACCAAUUUAUUUUCUGAUCACAGUCCAUGUCGUUUCCAUAUCAACAUUAUGCAUCACGAGUCAUUUUUGCUUUUUUUGAACCCCUUGCAACUAAAGUUAUUAAAUUGGAUAUGCUAAUAACUUAUUUUAAGAUUUGGACUAAACAAGUUAAUUUAAAUUGUUUUUAUUAAUUAAAAUAAUAUUAUUUAAUUUAUUUUUUAAAAUUAAAUUAAGUUUGAAACUAAUUCAAUCAUGUGAUAAUUUGAUCCAUCAUAUAGUUUAACUAAGUUAAUUAUCAUCUACUUUUUUAAAAAAUUAACUUGAUUCAGGUUUAAUAAUAAUUAUCAAAACUUGAGAACUGUUUUUUCCUUAAGUUUUACUUAUUUAUUUAUCUUUUUAGUGAUAUAUAAAUCGUUAAAAAAUAAUAUAAAUUAUAUCCUGGAAUUUUGCCUAACCGAUUAAGCUAUUAAGUUAAGAUGGUUUUUUGAUAUAGUAUCAGAGCGUUGAUGAUCAAGCGGUCACGAGUUCGAAUCUCACCAUCCCUAUUUAUUUAAUAAAAAUCAAACACAAGAUAAUAUGAGUUUGUGCAAGUUUCAAGUCCAAAUGACUUUUAUUUGAGGAGGUGUCAAUUUAAACUAUUAAAUUGAAAUAAUUUUUUUGAAACGGAAGGAUUCACAAUUAUUGUGUUCAUGAUGUGAUCCUAUACUUUUUCCUGUUUUUGAGUAGAUGACUAGAUAAAAUUUAUUUAAAAAAAAAAAUCAAAACGACAUUGUUUUAGUAAAAAAGAAAACAAAAAAAAUAAAAGCCAAUAAGUUUGUGGCCGGGUCUUUACCAGAUCUUUCCAGGUCAGCCGGAUCACACCAAAUUUUUCCUUUCUUUAUUUUUUUUUCAACCCGGUCCGGUUUCGUUCCCGGAUCGACCUACCAGGUCAUCAGGUUUCAAAACUAUGUCGAAGGUUACCACCUUUGGUUUUUUAUCUCUAUUUUUUAAAUGACCAAGUUGUAUUCCAAUAAUUAAAGGGGAAAUAGAGACCACUUGUCUUAUAAAAAAUACCGUUGGCUUUUGCUGGUUUCCUCACUCAAAACCACCACGAAGAAGCCUUGAGCCUCUGGUUUUUCUCCUACAAUUUUGGUACACACUCACCUAUAUAACCAAACCCCUUUACUCCCAUUUACUUCAUCAAAUCAUAACUCCUGAUAUCUUAAUCUCUCCAAAUCCCACUUCAAAGAGUUUCCAGCUCGUUGGUUCUAUAUUACAGUAACACAGAAAAUGAGUUCAGCAAGCAAAGCUUGGUUGGUUGCAGCAGCUGUUGGAGGAGUCGAGGCCUUGAAAGACCAAGGGUUCUGUAGGUGGAACUAUACCUUGAGAUCGCUACACCAACAUGCCAAGAACCAUGUCAGAUCAGCCUCUCAGGCCAAGAAGCUUUCUUCUUCAUCUUCUGCUAUGAUCUCGAAUAAAAUCAAGGAAGUGAAAGCAAAACAGUCUGAGGAAUCUCUAAGAAAAGUCAUGUAUUCGAGCUGUUGGGGUCCUUACUAAGCAAAGAAGCUAGAACAGAUUGAGGAAGUUAUCGUGAUAGGAUUAUCCUGAUUGUUGCAAGUUGAUGUAAAUUGAUUCGUAAAUAUUGUUGCUGAC